UUCCGGUUGAUCCUGCCGGCGGUCACUGCUAUCGAGUUCCGACUAAGCCAUGCGAGUCACAGGCCGCAAGGUUCUGGCGGACGGCUCAGUAACACGCGGAUAACCUGCCCUUAGGUGGGGUAUAACCUCGGGAAACUGAGGCUAAUUCCCCAUAGAUCCCAAAAGCUGGAAUGCUUUGGGAUUGAAAGCUACGGCGCCUAAGGAUGGGUCUGCGGCCUAUCAGGUAGUAGGUGGGGUAAAGGCCCACCUAGCCUAUGACGGGUACGGGCCCUGAGAGGGGGAGCCCGGAGAUGGGUUCUGAGACACGAACCCAGGUCCUACGGGGCGCAGCAGGCGCGAAACCUUCGCAAUGCGCAAAUGCGUGACGAGGGGAACUCGAGUGCUAUCAUCCUUUCGGGUGAUAGCUUUUCUCGAUCCUAAAAAGAUCGGGGAAUAAGGGCUGGGUAAGACGGGUGCCAGCCGCCGCGGUAAUACCCGCAGCUCGAGUGGUGACCACUAUUAUUGAGCCUAAAACGUCCGUAGCCGGUUUUGUAAAUCUCUGGGUAAAUCCUGCCGCUUAACGGUAGGAAUUCUGGAGAGACUGCAAAACUAGGGAUCGGGUGAGGCGAGAGGUACUCCUGGGGUAGGGGUAAAAUCCUGUAAUCCUGGGGGGACGACCGGUGGCGAAAGCGUCUCGCUAGAACGACUCCGACGGUGAGGGACGAAGGCUAGGGGAGCAAACCGGAUUAGAUACCCGGGUAGUCCUAGCUGUAAACGCUGCCCACUUGGUGUUGCCCUUUCUUCGGGAAGGGGCAGUGCCGGAGCGAAGGUGUUAAGUGGGCUGCUUGGGGAGUAUGGUCGCAAGGCUGAAACUUAAAGGAAUUGGCGGGAGAGCACCGCAACGGGAGGAGCGUGCGGUUUAAUUGGAUUCAACGCCGGG
rnacentral:rRNA from 1 species